GUAGGGGGGCAAGCGUUGUCCGGAAUUAUUGGGCGUAAAGCGCGCGCAGGGCGGUCCUUUAAGUCUGAUGUGAAAGCCCACGGCUCAACCGUGGAGGGUCAUUGGAAACUGGGGGACUUGAGUACAGAAGAGGAAAGCGGAAUUCCAAGUGUAGCGGUGAAAUGCGUAGAGAUUUGGAGGAACACCAGUGGCGAAGGCGGCUUUCUGGUCUGUAACUGACGCUGAGGCGCGAAAGCGUGGGGAGCAAACAGGAUUAGAUACCCUGGUAGUCCACGCCGUAAACGAUGAGUGCUAAGUGUUAGGGGGUUUCCGCCCCUUAGUGCUGCAGCUAACGCAUUAAGCACUCCGCCUGGGGAGUACGGCCGCAAAGGCUG
rnacentral:rRNA from 1 species